GCACGGUGAUUGAUGGCGGGCCCAUGUCCAUGGGCCUCUCGGAGUGGAGCCAUGCCAGAGGGAGCGCAGCCCUGAACCACUGCCCAGCUUCCUGACCCGUGGGCUGUGGGCACUGAGGGGGGCUGGGCAGUA